GAGCCGCCGUCACUCCCCAUCCCGCCCCGCCGUCCCCCGACAUCCCUCCCCGGGCGGACCGGGGCCGGGGCCGGCGCAGGAGAGUCCCAGGAGCCAGAAAUCCGGGCCUCCGACACCCUGAACCGUCAGCCCGCAGGACCAGUUGUUCCUAACGGAGGUGACGCCAGCGGAGCAUCCCCAAGGUCAAACGAAUUCUCUCCGUCCUUCAGAAACGGCCGAGGGCGGCUUGGAGUGGGAGAGAGAGCUCGUCGGCUGGCAGAGGAUCGCUCGGGCCCAAGAUGAGGGGCAGGGGCAGCCCGACCUGCGCAGGAGGAGGAGAAGGAAAAGGAGGAGGAGGAGACGGAAUUGGCGCCUCAGGCCAGGAGGCCGUCCAGGGAGGCCGAAGUUGGGCCCCCGUGCCCCCGCGUCCGUUUGCCCAUCGCACCAUGCCCUAACCCAGCGGCUCCCACGCGGCUCGGUGCCCGGAGGCCAUUUUGAUGGAGCUGUCUGUAAGAUGGCUGCGUGGGCACGAGGGUCUGAAAUAGUGGAUUCAUAGAGAGAUGUUUGCACUGUCCAGGACAGAGAUAAGAAGAGACAUGUCUGUAGAGGGUCAAGUCCAUGUCCCGUCCAGCCGAGGCCAGCCCAACCAGGAAAGGACUCCCCUUGGAGAUCAUCAGGAAGAUGACAAGAAAGACACCUGCUUCAGACAGAAGCCCAUUUCAGACCAGACCCAGCAGCCCCAGGGCUGGUGAGUUUGUGUUGCUCUGAGAACUCACGCCAUCCAGAAUGCACCUUAGACCUACCGUGGGUUGUCUGAAUUUCUGAGACUUUUUAACCACCCAGAGGAGAAUGUGGCCAAUCCUUCUUCUGAGGUUCUGCUUUCUGAGGUGGUCGAGAAGGAACAGAAAAAAUCUCUGGCCAGGUAGCACUCGCCCCUGACCUUCUGGCUCUUACAAGGUCUUGGACAGGGAAAUGCUGGGAGGGGAACUGCUCUGGAUUCCCUGUCUGGAAGGAUACUGCCUCACUGGCCUUAGGAGAGCUUACCAGGAGAGAAGAGGAGGGAUGAAAUCAAAAGUCCUGCUGGCCGGGGACGACGUCUUUCCAGUGGUGACAGAGGUUCAGAAUCUGCGCCCCCAGGGCCAAGGAGCCCCGUAUUGAGAGGACUUAAAUUAGGGCUGAGCUGGCAGAGGGGCAGAGAGGAUGACCCCCUGCAGAGACAACCAUAAGGACUUGAUCUUCCAAACCCCCACCCAUCCUUCUCCCUGUCCCUCACCAGACCGGAGCGGGCAGACAGUCUGGAUGAGAUUGGGCCUUCCAGCCAAACAUGCCCUCCACAGUCUCUCUGCCAGUGGUAGGGGAUCCCCUGGGAGAUCCAGGGAGGGCAGGCCCAGAACUGGAGUGUGGCUGAAGGUGCUGAUUUUGAGAAGCAGCAUGGUUUAGUGGAAAGAGCAUGGGCUUGGGAGUCAGAGGGUGGGUCCUAAUCCCUGCUCCUCCACUUGUCUGCUGUAUGACCUUGGGCAAGCCACUUCACUUCUCUGUGCCUCAUCUGUAAAAUGGGGAUUAGAACUGUGAGCCUCAAGGGGGACAACCUGAUUACCAUGUAUCUAUCCUAGUGCUUAGAACAGUUCUUGGCACAUAGUACGCACUUAACAAAUACCAUUAUUAUUGCUAUUAUUAUUAUUAUUAUGAAUGGAUUUUUAUCUCUGUGAUCUCUCCUUUUCCACUCAAUAAAUGACCCUUGGUCAAUCU